CGUUCUGUAAGCCUGUGAAGGUGUGCUGUGAGGCAUGCUGGAGGUAUCAGAAGUGCGAAUGCUGACAUAAGUAACGAUAAAGCGGGUGAAAAGCCCGCUCGCCGGAAGACCAAGGGUUCCUGUCCAACGUUAAUCGGGGCAGGGUGAGUCGACCCCUAAGGCGAGGCCGAAAGGCGUAGUCGAUGGGAAACAGGUUAAUAUUCCUGUACUUGGUGUUACUGCGAAGGGGGGACGGAGAAGGCUAUGUUGGCCGGGCGACGGUUGUCCCGGUUUAAGCGUGUAGGCUGGUUUUCCAGGCAAAUCCGGAAAAUCAAGGCUGAGGCGUGAUGACGAGGCACUACGGUGCUGAAGCAACAAAUGCCCUGCUUCCAGGAAAAGCCUCUAAGCAUCAGGUAACAUCAAAUCGUACCCCAAACCGACACAGGUGGUCAGGUAGAGAAUACCAAGGCGCUUGAGAGAACUCGGGUGAAGGAACUAGGCAAAAUGGUGCCGUAACUUCGGGAGAAGGCACGCUGAUAUGUAGGUGAAGUCCCUCGCGGAUGGAGCUGAAAUCAGUCGAAGAUACCAGCUGGCUGCAACUGUUUAUUAAAAACACAGCACUGUGCAAACACGAAAGUGGACGUAUACGGUGUGACGCCUGCCCGGUGCCGGAAGGUUAAUUGAUGGGGUCAGCGCAAGCGAAGCUCUUGAUCGAAGCCCCGGUAAACGGCGGCCGUAACUAUAACGGUCCUAAGGUAGCGAAAUUCCUUGUCGGGUAAGUUCCGACCUGCACGAAUGGCGUAAUGAUGGCCAGGCUGUCUCCACCCGAGACUCAGUGAAAUUGAACUCGCUGUGAAGAUGCAGUGUACCCGCGGCAAGACGGAAAGACCCCGUGAACCUUUACUAUAGCUUGACACUGAACAUUGAGCCUUGAUGUGUAGGAUAGGUGGGAGGCUUAGAAGUGUGGACGCCAGUCUGCAUGGAGCCGACCUUGAAAUACCACCCUUUAAUGUUUGAUGUUCUAACGUUGACCCGUAAUCCGGGUUGCGGACAGUGUCUGGUGGGUAGUUUGACUGGGGCGGUCUCCUCCUAAAGAGUAACGGAGGAGCACGAAGGUUGGCUAAUCCUGGUCGGACAUCAGGAGGUUAGUGCAAUGGCAUAAGCCAGCUUGACUGCGAGCGUGACGGCGCGAGCAGGUGCGAAAGCAGGUCAUAGUGAUCCGGUGGUUCUGAAUGGAAGGGCCAUCGCUCAACGGAUAAAAGGUACUCCGGGGAUAACAGGCUGAUACCGCCCAAGAGUUCAUAUCGACGGCGGUGUUUGGCACCUCGAUGUCGGCUCAUCACAUCCUGGGGCUGAAGUAGGUCCCAAGGGUAUGGCUGUUCGCCAUUUAAAGUGGUACGCGAGCUGGGUUUAGAACGUCGUGAGACAGUUCGGUCCCUAUCUGCCGUGGGCGCUGGAGAACUGAGGGGGGCUGCUCCUAGUACGAGAGGACCGGAGUGGACGCAUCACUGGUGUUCGGGUUGUCAUGCCAAUGGCACUGCCCGGUAGCUAAAUGCGGAAGAGAUAAGUGCUGAAAGCAUCUAAGCACGAAACUUGCCCCGAG
rnacentral:rRNA from 1 species